ensembl:lncRNA
AUGUUGGAGAGCUAUGUGGAUGAAUUCUUUGCACUUUCGAACGAGGUGAGAAUUUUCCCUGAAGUUUCCUUGUCCAGCACCCUCUGGAACAAAUUGUACCUCCCCAGCUUACCUUCCAUCAGGUACCUCCACAUACUGUACCUCGCCAACUGUUCCGACCACCUGCCCAAACCGAGGCAUCCACAUAUUCCCCUGGGCUCCAUGACAGUAAGAACAUUUAUGUUGCUAGCCCAAAGGAUGUUAAUGUGGCACUCCCCACACCAGCCUCCAGGGUCUCCCCGAUAUCAAGUCACCUAUAUUGAUAAAAAAAAAAAAAAAAAACUGUGGUUGAGUUUAAGCAAUCUUGGACUUCAUACUACUUAUUAGAAAUUGAGCAUAUAACUCCGUUAGUUCUGAGGAACCAAAAACCCUGUCUCGUCUUGGGGUAGUCUUGUUGCUGAAGAUUAUGUGCAGGGAAGGGGUUUGAUUGGUCGGAGCAUGUGUUUGGUGGAUGUAUGAUGAGGAAGUUUUAAGAGCCACAGCCUCAUGCCUGCAGACAUGUACGCUGUUAGCUAGUGAGCAGUGAAGGCUGUAGAGCAGGGACACCGUCAUGCAGGACUAAAAGGUACAUUUCUGGUUCAUAAGCAUGUCCUGUCAAGGUUAAUCCAGUAGAGACGGGCCACUUGACUGCCAGCCGCUGCUGUGGCCACUGUAUUCCCACUGAAAGCAUCUUAGACAUGAGAUUGGAAGAUGUUCUGGUCCGCUCGUUCUCUGUUCUGUAGACUUUCAUAUACAGUAUGACCGAUGUCUCUUUAUCACAGAUCUGAAGUCAGUAUCAGCAACAAUUUGUGUUCUUCAUACUGAAGGCUGAUACUGAUAUCUCGAAAUCAGGGAAGUCAAUAAAAUGUAGAUAUAAACACUGUAAUACUGAAGUUAAAUGAACACUUAAAUCUCAAAUAUCAGCUGAUAGCCACUACAUCGGUGUGAUAAUAGUUUAACUCAUUUUUCAUUCUAAACUAGUUGAGUUUAUAUAUAAAAAAAAAGUAUUUCAUUUAAUGCUUAUUUAAUAAUCACGUUUUAAUAGCUGUGGAUGUGUGUGUAUAUUUAAAAAAAAAAAAAAAAAAAAAAUAUAUAUAUAUAUAUAUAUUAGGACCCGGGGACAUCCUAUCAGAAGACCUUAACACAGGAGGUCUUACUAAAGUAAAUAUGUAUAGUUAUAUAUAUUUUUAUAAGUGAAAUGUUGCUUUAUUUUUUAUAUUUACUGUUACUUAAUAACAAAGAAGUUAUAUUAAUAUUUUGCUUGAUAACUGUCAUUAGUUACAUGAUUAAUACUUAUAAAAUGAUUGGGUUUCAACACUUCUAAUAAUAUUACCUGUUUGUUUCGUCAAAUCUGCAUGAUUUCUGUAUUUCUUGUGUACACUACGGAAAUACGAUGAGAAAAAAUAAGUUGUGGCUUGAGAGAAACUCUUAAUUUCACUCCAGGUUUAAAUAAAUUAGUCAGGAGGAAUUAAAACCUGCAUUACAAUGAAGCGCAAAUUACAAAUUCACAACCAGUGUGACAAAUAUGCAG